GCGUCUCAGCUGGGGGUGGGGCCUUGUGAGCUCCUCCCCCUCCAAGGCAGGAAUGUUGACCGCCUUGAUUUUGUGCAGAUGACCCCAGCUGCCAGGAGUUCAUGGGUGCGACAGCCACGUCGCGUCCAGAAGACGGCGUCUCACGGCGCCCUUCCCCAUCCUCUUGGCUCCUUUAAACCUGCUACCAUCUCUCCGCGCUAGUUCCCGAGCCUUGGGGGAGGGGCGGAUUCACCGUGUGCGGGUCUCGGCCUUAACUGCUGACCACUGCAACAGGAAAGCUUCUUCGGGCGAGGCUGAGAGCAGCAGUAAUCGAGGGACGUAAACAAACACGCAGGAGGCAGUUGGAGAGCCUGAGCAUUUAGAAGAAAACAAAGUCAGAGGAUUCCCUAGAAGCUGUGACCUCCCCAACUGGGGACUUUCGAAGAGGGCACCAGAUCCCAUUACAGACGGUUAUGAGCCACCGCGUAGUUGCUGGGAACUCAGGACCUUUGGAAGAGCAGACAUCCCGGAGAGCCCAUUGGGGCGGAUGAUGAGGUUCUGCAAAAACAACUCCCAAACCAAGAGAAGGAGGAGGAAAUCGAAGUCCCACAGUCCUGCUUCGGAGGCUGGGACAGCCCUCGGGUCGUGAGUGAUUGAGAUGUAUGUUCAAGCUCAAAGCAUGUGCAGACUCCCAGUCUGAGGGUCCUGGCUCGGAAGAGGGACCAGAGACAGGGAGAGUGAUCUGGGUGAGUGCAAGAAACCUCUGGUAGAACUAAGGGCCUGGUCUGGAGGAUUCCUGCAUAAGGCAUGAGGUUGCCAGCAUGGACUCUGGGAACAACCUCAUUGGGAGUUUACACGGAUCCAUCAGUAGCCAAAGGGCCUCCGUGAUGCUUAGUGAUGGUUUCCGAGGGCUUUUCCCGCAGGAAGGGAAGGCUGAAGCCUCGGAUCAAGACAUCACGACACAAGCUAGGCAAGCCUAGCCUUCCUUUUGCAGAAAGGAGAAGAAUAAAAAUAUCCGAGACCAGUAAGAAUAAGCUACCCAGGACCAGAGAGAUGGUCCUGGUUCAACAGUUAAGAGCACUAACUACUCUUCUGGAGGACCCAAGUUCGAGUCCCAACACCCAUAACCAUCUAGAACUCCAGUUCCUGGGGAUCCAACAGCCUCUUCUGGCUUUCUUGUGCACCAGGUACACAAGUGGUACACAGACAGACAUAAAGGGAAAACAUGCAUUCACAUAAAAUAAACUACUUGUUUUUUUAAUUAAUAAGUUUGCACCAGGUAGUGGUGGUACACGCCUUUAAUCCCAGCACAGGGGGAUCUCUGUGAGUUCAAGGCCAGCCUGGUCUACAAAGAGAGUUCCAGGACAGCCAGGGCUACAGAGAGAAACCCUGUUUAAAACAACAACAACAACAAAAAAAAAAAAGUCCUCUGUGACACAUACUCCUGGGGCACAUGGUCCUAUAUUGGGGAGACAAACCUCAAACAAAAGAGAAAAAGAAACAGCAGGUGAAGAUUGGUAGGUCAGUGUCUCACCAGGUAAGUUAAGGAUCAGAGCCUCCUGUCAACCUUUCCAAUCCAGAAGUCUGGGCCCUCUAAUUGAAAAUCCAUACGUGGGUGGUGGCUGGUCAUUUGGAUCGAUUCCUUAGGCCUCAGCUCCAUACCUGGCCCAAGCCAACGUUAACAGUGAAUAUUCUCUUCUCUGGUGGUGAUAAGACACGCCACCAUGGGUGGUUUCUUAGAAAGAAACAUCUACCCUACACUGUAUAAUGGCAGCUUUUUUUCAUUUGUUUUUUUUAUAUGCAUUGGUGUUUUGCCUGCAUGUGUGCCCGUGUGAGGGCCUAGGAUCCCCUAGAACUGGAGUUACAAGUGCAAACUGCCUUGCAGGUGCUGGGAAUUGAACCCUGGUCUUCUGGAAGAGCAGCCAGUACUCUUACCGCUGAGCCGUAUCUUCAGCCCCUAAUGAAGACAAAUUUUAAAAAAAUUCCACAACCAACAUCCCACAUGGGAUAAUAAUAAUAAUGAGGUCCACCAUCCACUGAGGCAUCUUGCCAGCAUCUUCAAGGUUUGGUCAUAAGCGAGAUGGGAGCGUCAAUACCAGAGUCCUAUAACGCGGAUAGGCCUUAAACAGUGCACACAGGGAAAAGGGAGGCCUGCGGGGUUCCAGGAAGGCUGAAGGAUGGAUGAGAGUGCGCUCAGGUGAGACACAGAGCCGCUGGGCGAGGGAUGCUGAAAUCACACGUUGUAUCUUCGCUGGCCUGACACUGAGACAGUUAGAAGAUCGGAGUGUGGACAGACUGAAAUUCCAGAGAGAAGGGAAGUGGUGAAUGGAGGGAGAAAGAACAACGAUACUAUUCUUGACUCGAGGACGAAAAGGCAUUAGUUAACGUCAAUUGUCAUCUAACUUUGCAAUCACAGGGCUAAUGUGGAAAGAUUUUUGGC